ACGUGCUGGUUGUUCUGAAUGGAAGACUAGUGAUUUUGUUGUGGCAUUGAUGAAAGAACAACAAGUCCCAGUCUACCUCUCGGUACAAGCAAUA
rnacentral:pre_miRNA from 10 species